rnacentral:lncRNA from 1 species
GUUUUCCUUUAAUUUUUUAGUUUAAAAUUUCAACAAAUUUGAGUUGAAUUUAAAUUAGAAUCUUUAUUUUGUUUGGAUUCUGAAAAUUAAACACACAAGUUAUCAAUGUUGCGUGCAACACACCGCUAAGUUUGCAUGCAAGGAGUUGAAUCAUGGGCAGGUUAGUGUUAACUGUGUUAAUGCCAUUAUUGAUGUUGGUAUUUAAAUUGAGAAACGAACUCACUGCAUUAAUAUGCCACGAAAGAUACUUGGUAUAGAGAAAGAUAAAAGAAAAAAAGAAGAAAAGGAAAAAAAAAAGU